rnacentral:rRNA from 1 species
GACGAACGCUGGCGGCGUGCUUAACACAUGCAAGUCGAACGGAAAGGCCCUGCUUUUGUGGGGUGCUCGAGUGGCGAACGGGUGAGUAACACGUGAGUAACCUGCCCUUGACUUUGGGAUAACUUCAGGAAACUGGGGCUAAUACCGGAUAGGAGCUCCUGCUGCAUGGUGGGGGUUGGAAAGUUUCGGCGGUUGGGGAUGGACUCGCGGCUUAUCAGCUUGUUGGUGGGGUAGUGGCUUACCAAGGCUUUGACGGGUAGCCGGCCUGAGAGGGUGACCGGCCAAAUGGGGACGGAGAUACGGCCCAGACUCCCACGGGAGGCAGGGGGGGGGAAUUUUGCAAAAGGGGCGGAAGCCUGAUGCAGCAACGCCGCGUGGGGGAUGACGGCCUUCGGGUUGUAAACCCCUUUCGCCUGUGACGAAGCGUGAGUGACGGUAAUGGGGAAAGAAGCACCGGCUAACUACGU